UUCUUCUCAGCCUGUCCGAGCACACAUUCCUUUCUUCUGGAUAUGGGGCAGGAUCCUUUCUGGAACGGGGAUCUUAUGACCUGUAGUCAAACAAGGAUCUUGCUGCGUCACUCAGGCUGGAGUGCAGUGGCACAAUCACGGCUCAUUGCAACCUCGACUCCCCAGGUUCAAGCAAUCCUCCCACUUCAACCUCCAAAGUAGCUAGGACUACAGGUGUGGCCAUGCCUAGCUAACUUUUAAAAUUUGUUCUAGAGAUGGGGUCUCACUCUAUUGCCCAGGCUGGUCUUGAACUCCUGAGCUCAAAUGUCCCACCAACCUUGUGCUCCCAAAGUGCUGGGAUUAUGAGUGUGAGCCACUGCAUCUGGUGGCUUCCUUUUUUUAAUCCCAAUUUUUUAUUCCUUAAAAAUUUUUCCAGGUGUACAUUGUAAAAUUUGUUUUCUAUUUUACCAUUUUUCCAAAUGGCUACCCAGUUGUCCCAACAGCAUAUAUUAAAUAUUCUAUCUUCUCUAUUGAUGUGAAUUGCCAUCCUUAACAUUUACUAAAUUUGCUUAUUAUUGAUUGAUUUUGGAGAAGGGGUCUCACUUUGUCAUACAGGCUGAAGUGCAGAGGUGUAAUUACAACCCACUGCAGCCUCUACCUUCUGGGCUCAAGUGAUCCUCCCCACUCAGCCUCCUGAGUAGCUGGGACCACAGGCAUGUGCCACCAUGACUGGCUAAUUUUUAAAUUUUUUGUAGUGAUAAGGUCUCUCUAUGUUGCUCCAGCUGGUCUCCAACUCCUGGGUUCAAGGAAUGCUCCCACCUCUGCCUCCCAAAGUGCUGGGAUUACAGACAUGACCCACCGUGCCCAGGCUGCUUAUUUUUAUUUUUAUUUUUUUGAGACAAGAUUUUGCUCUGUCACCCAGCCUGGAGUGUGUAGUGGCAUGAUCUCAGCUCACUGCACCCUCGACUUCCUGAGCUCAGGUGAUUCUCCCACCUCAGCCUUCUAAGUAGCUGGGACUACAGGCCCACAUCACCACGCCAGGCUAACUUUUGUAUUUUUAGUAGAGACAGGAUUUCAGCGUGUUACCCACGCUGGUCUCAAACUCCUGGGCUCAAGCAAUCCUCCCACCUCGGGCUCCAAAAAUGCUAGGAUUACAGGCGUGAGCCACCCAGCCUGGCCUGCUUAUGAAUUUUGGUCUAGUUUUAGACAUCCUAUUCUACAACUUGGCUAGUCUGUUUAUUCAUGUAUCAGCUGUUUUAACUAUUAAGGUGUUAUAUGUCCUAUCUAGAAGGGCCAAUCCUCCUGUGUUGCUCUUCAUUGUUAUAAUUUUCCUGGUUGUUUUUGCUUAUUUAUCUUUUCAAAUGAAUGUCAGUGUUAACUUGCCUGGUUUAAAAAACCGUAUUUUAUUGAAGUUGUAUUAAGAGAAUAAAAAACUGUGGAUAAUUAAAAUUUUUAUGGUAUCAAUUUUUUUCUCAUUCUAACAAAAAGUAUGACUUUCCUUUUUUUUUUUUUUUGUCUUGCGAUGGAGUCUCACUCUGUCGCCCAGGCUGGAGUGCAGUGGCUCGAUCUCAGCUCGCUGCAGCUGUGUCCAGAACUGGUGGGUUCUUGGUCUCACUGACUUCAAGAAUGAAGCCGCGGACCCUUGUGGAUGAAGACAUCUAAGCUACUUCUGGAUUCCCUAGAAAACUUGUGCUGCCUAUUCUUUUCCAACUGUGUAGUCCUCUCCUGGCUGUUUCUGUGGUCCAGCAGACUGUGGAGAAAUAGCUUACUAUUCCAUUAGAAAGAAGAUCUUGUGUAAUAAAAAUAAGAAGUGGUAUCAGGUCAUGGGAGCUUUGGAAAUGGAAUCGAGAUUUGGUGCUUGUCUUUGCCUCUGUGGCUAACAAGGUAUAGAACGUUUGGAAGUUUCUUAACUGACUUAGGCCACCUAAAGGUAUUAGAGUAGACAAGCAGUUUGUAAAAGGUGCUUUGCAGGUAACCAGGGGCCUGCUGGUCUCUCAUAGCUGCCUCAGAGGCUCAUGAUAGAAGGUUUGAGAAACUAGGGGAUUGUCACUGAGAGGGAUACAAUGGGGACUUCGGUCGAAUAAUCUCCAUUGUCUUUCGAGCAGAACAGCAGCAGCUCUAUUUCCUAUACAUUUCACAUUUUGUAAUUCUUGAAGGAUUUUUUUUAAAACAAAGACCUCUGCUAAAACCAAACCAAACCAAAUCAAAUCAAAUAAAAGCUGCAAGACUCCUGAAGGUCCCUCUAGCUCUACAUUUUUAGUACUUUCCUAUGAUAUUUAUAUAUCCCACAUGCUGGUUCACUUUGUCAUCUGAGAUGAGACUAAUCUGUGUCCAUCUGGGAUAGAAAUUUCUUCCGUACUUUGAUGAAAAGCAGUGUAGUCCUGCAAGAUGUGAGUCUAUUUCCCCAUACUUUAUUGACACAGGUAUGAAGAUGAGAAGAGAUGGAGGCAGCAAAGGAAAUGUGGUUUUGCAUGUCACUAGCUCAACUCCCUCUGCAUUUUCUUUUAAGCAAGGGAGGUGCUCCAUUGUCUCUAUAGGGCAACAGCAGUUCACUGGGUCCCCACAUUUUUCUGGGGCUUUUGUGAGAAGCAGUAGGCAGGAACAGUGAAGAGAAACUUAGCAGGAGGCCCAGGUGCUGUCUUUUCUAGUUUCAGAGCUAUCUGAUCAGGACAAAAAGGAACAAGCUUGUCCACAGCAAGAUGGCCAGCAACUUGGUUAUUUACCCAGUUAGUCUUGGGGAACACUAGAGCUCUUCCAAUAGCUGGGACUAUUUAAAUUUUUUCAAGGAAACAUAUGCUGUGGGUUGGUGGUAGAUGGGAUUCAGGAGGAUCCUUCUCUUAUACAAGAUGACUUUCUGGAUAGGUGUUUGUGGGGUACAGAGGGAGGGAGCAAGGAGAAUAAGAGAGGAACAAACCAAAUGUUCAACAUUCUAACACUCUUUAAUAAUUUAUCUAAAAUUAUUGGAUAUUGAAUUAUUAGAGGCAUUGAAUCUUUUACUUUUUGUAUGACACUCACUCAGUCUUCAAAUAAUUUCUGAUUGAACACUAGAUUAAGAGGAAAAAAUACCACAAAUGAAAUAACUUGUAUUUUUGUUACGCAAAGGAUUAUUCUAAAAAAUAAUAAGCUGUUCCUCUAAGCCCUUUUAGAACACAUGGAAAACUUCAGAAUAGUGUGAGGGCGUCUUACAUGCACUUCUUUCUUUGGAGAUUGUGAUAACCCAAGUAGAGGAUUUAGGAUUGUGCUGCUCAGAGACAACUGUUUGGAUAAAAUAAUGCCAGAUUCAUCGUUUCCAGACUUGUUAAAUUCAUGGAGUAUUAAAAUAAAAUUGAAAUAAAAUGGAAA
rnacentral:lncRNA from 1 species